rnacentral:rRNA from 1 species
UAGCAUAUCAAUAAGCGGAGGAAAAGAAACCAACAGGGAUUGCCCCAGUAACGGCGAGUGAAGCGGCAACAGCUCAAAUUUGAAAUCUGGCCUCCGGGUCCGAGUUGUAAUUUGCAGAGGAUGCUUUUGGCGAGGUGCCUUCCGAGUUCCCUGGAACGGGACGCCAUAGAGGGUGAGAGCCCCGUCUGGUCGGACACCGAGCCUCUGUAAAGCUCCUUCGACGAGUCGAGUAGUUUGGGAAUGCUGCUCAAAAUGGGAGGUAUAUGUCUUCUAAAGCUAAAUAUUGGCCAGAGACCGAUAGCGCACAAGUAGAGUGAUCGAAAGAUGAAAAGCACUUUGAAAAGAGGGUUAAAAAGUACGUGAAAUUGUUGAAAGGGAAGCGCCUAUGACCAGACUUGGGCCCGGUGAAUCACCCAGCGUUCUCGCUGGUGCACUUUGCCGGGCACAGGCCAGCAUCAGUUUGGCGCGGGGGAUAAAGGUUUCGGGAAUGUGGCUCCCUCGGGAGUGUUAUAGCCCGUUGCGUAAUACCCUGCGCCGGACUGAGGUACGCGCAUUGCAAGGAUGCUGGCGUAAUGGUCAUCAGCGACCCGUCUUGAAACACGGACCAAGGAGUCGUCUUCGUAUGCGAGUGUUCGGGUGUCAAACCCCUACGCGUAAUGAAAGUGAACGUAGGUGAGAGCUUCGGCGCAUCACCGACCGAUCCUGAUGUUCUCGGAUGGAUUUGAGUAAGAGCAUACGGGGCCGGACCCGAAAGAAGGUGAACUAUGCCUGUAUAGGGUGAAGCCAGAGGAAACUCUGGUGGAGGCUCGCAGCGGUUCUGACGUGCGAAUCGAUCGUCAAAUAUGGGCAUGGGGGCGAAAGACUAAUCGAACCUUCUAGUAGCUGGUUUCCGCG